rnacentral:lncRNA from 1 species
UUUAACUAAGCAAGGACAAACUUGAUAACUUGUCGUUUAAUCAAACGUCACUGGAUCUCUUUCUUCUACGUUCCCAAAUUUUUCUUCUUUCUUCUUCUGAUAGUGUAUCCAGAGAGAGCUAAGAAGCUUGAGACGACGACGUAGAAAGCCAUGUCUUACGAUUAUCUUUUCAAGUACAUCAUCAUCGGUGACACUGGUAGCCCAUCUCUCUGUUUGAAAAUCACUAUUUGUUUAGGAGUCUCUCUCUCUCUCUCACGUUUAUGUUAUUCUUGUUCUUUUUGAUUCGUUUAAGAUCUUUGAUGCUCUAUCUCUCCCUGCUCUGCUCUUAGUUAUUUAUUAGUUGUAUUUUGUUUGUUUGACGAUUGUUUCAUAAUGAAAUCUGAGUUAAAAGACCCUAAUCUACAUUUGAUUCUCUAGUCUUUUCCUGCUUUGGUUCCGAAUCUGGAAAAAGCCAAUGUAUUAAGAAAAAGUUUGAUACUUAUAAAUCUGUAUAAUUCAAGAGUUUAACGAAAUAGAUCAAGAAUUAUAAAAAAUUUUUAAAAAGGGGUAAUCAAAAGAAGAGAAUGGCAACCAAGAAAGAAGGAAUUGAUAGGUGAAAAAGGGUAUUUGAAAGUGAAGAAAUUCAGAUGUGAAAGAGAAUAGUUAAAAAGAUAUGAACUAUGAUGUCACUUUGUAACAGCUGUAUAGAAUCAUGAUCAACCCUUUACUUGUCUUUUUGCUAUUCGAAGAACUACAGUGUUUCCUUUCAUUUCUUUUCCAUAUUUUGUAUUGUACAUUUUAUUUUAAAAUUUUGAAAGAUAAUAAGCCAACUAUUGGCAGUCAUAACAUCUUUUUCUAACGUAAUGCUUAUUCGGAGAUUUGUAAGGAAUUCUUAAUAUUUAUGUUUUUUUCCCUUACAUUUUUAACUCUUUUUUUAAUUUUCAAACGUGUAUUAUGAGCGCUAGUUUUGAUUCAUUAAUAUUUUAAUGUUUUAGAAGUACCAUGCAUGCUUUCUUUUUUAGUGUUAAUCUUUUUUUUUUUUAUCUUUCUUGUUUCAUUACCACGUUAAGUUAUUCUCAAGUUGUCCCCUUUGUUAAAAUGUUCAACACUUUUAUUCAUGCGAUUUCAUGGUCUAUGUAAAACUGCAUCUUUGUAGUUGAAUUAUAGUUUAGAUAGUUUUGGUGGACAUAUUGUAUGUUACAGUUUUUCUUUAAGAUAAAUAUGAGCUUUACUAAUUUGUUUAGAAGAUAUAAUGUCACUUUGAAGGAGUGAAUCUUAUAUAGUAACAAAUUUGUAACAUUACCCUUGCGCUGUGUCAGAAACUCCAGUAGCCUCAGUUAACAUAAACCUCUUUUGGUAGUUCUCUGGGAAUAGUGUAGAAUGGCAUGUGAUUGAGGAACAUUUUUGCAUGGUGUUUGUCUAGUCAAUGGUCAUACAACUUUGAAAAAAGAAAAAUAAAAGUAGAAUAAAUUAAGCACCAAAAUUUCCCAAGGCAAAGAACAAAGUGAUGCACCUAGUCCGCCAAUUUCCAUUGUUUUACCUAACGAACAAGCACAUCAAAGUUAUAUAUGCAAACUGUGAUUUUCAAGUUAGCACAAAAUAUUUUCUUAUAAAUAUUGAGAAGAGUUCGUUGUAUAAUCAGAUUCAACUGAUUGUAUAUAUCAUAUUUAGCAACCAAACCACAUUUAUAUAUAUACUUAUCAUAUUUUAUAUCAGUUUGUGUUAUUUUCUUUUCAGGUUUGCAAGGCUUUCGUAUUAUUUUUCCUCUCCAUUUCAAAGCAUAGUCUUGACUCUUAAUUCGUGGGUGCCAUUGACAUGGAAGCAGUUAAUAUCCACAAGAGAGCCAAAAAAUGGCGGAUUAAGAAG